CGGAGGGUGCAAGCGUUAUCCGGAUUCACUGGGUUUAAAGGGUGUGUAGGUGGGCAGGUAAGUCAGUGGUGAAAUCUCCGGGCUUAACUCGGAAACUGCCAUUGAUACUAUCUGUCUUGAAUACCGUGGAGGUCAGCGGAAUAUGUCAUGUAGCGGUGAAAUGCUUAGAUAUGACAUAGAACACCAAUUGCGAAGGCAGCUGGCUACACGAAUAUUGACACUGAUGCACGAAAGCGUGGGGAUCAAACAGGAUUAGAUACCCUGGUAGUCCACGCCCUAAACGAUGGAUACUCGACAUACGCGAUACACAGUGUGUGUCUGAGCGAAAGCAUUAAGUAUCCCACCUGGGAAGUACGAUCGCAAGAUUG
rnacentral:rRNA from 1 species